CAGUAGCCGCGGGAAUACGAAGGGGGCUAGCGUUGUUCGGAUUUACUGGGCGUAAAGCGUGCGUAGGCGGUGAGUUAAGUCUGCUGUGAAAUCCCCGGGCUCAACCUGGGAAUGGCAGUGGAUACUGGCUCGCUAGAGUGUGUCAGAGGAUGGUGGAAUUCCCGGUGUAGCGGUGAAAUGCGUAGAGAUCGGGAGGAACAUCAGUGGCGAAGGCGGCCAUCUGGGACAACACUGACGCUGAGGCACGAAAGCGUGGGGAGCAAACAGGAUUAGAUACCCCUGUAGUCCCUGUCUCUUUUAC
rnacentral:rRNA from 1 species